AUUGAACGCUGGCGGCAUGCCUUACACAUGCAAGUCGAACGGUAACGCGGGGCAACCUGGCGACGAGUGGCGAACGGGUGAGUAAUAUAUCGGAACGUGCCCAGUAGUGGGGGAUAGCCCGGCGAAAGCCGGAUUAAUACCGCAUGAGACCUGAGGGUGAAAGCGGGGGGAUCGCAAGACCUCGCGCUAUUGGAGCGGCCGAUAUCAGAUUAGGUAGUUGGUGGGGUAAAGGCCUACCAAGCCGACGAUCUGUAGCUGGUCUGAGAGGACGACCAGCCACACUGGGACUGAGACACGGCCCAGACUCCUACGGGAGGCAGCAGUGGGGAAUUUUGGACAAUGGGCGCAAGCCUGAUCCAGCCAUGCCGCGUGCGGGAGAAGGCCUCGGUUGUAACGCUUUGUUCGGAGAAUACUUCUGGUUAGUACCUCGGGAGGAGUGACGGUACCUGAAGAAUAAGCACCGGCUAACUACGUGUCCACGCAGCCGCGGUAAGGAGUAC
rnacentral:rRNA from 1 species